rnacentral:rRNA from 1 species
UACGUAGGAGGCGAGCGUUGUCCGGAAUUACUGGGUGUAAAGCGCGCGUAGGUGGGAGGCCAAGUCUGUGGUGAAAGCGCCCGGCUCAACUGGGCAGAGUCCAUGGAAACUGGUCACCUGGAGGACGGUAGAGGCGAGUGGAAUUCCCGGUGUAGUGGUGAAAUGCGUAGAUAUUGGAAAGACCACCAAUGGCGAAGGCACUCUACUGGGCCAUUACUGACACUGAGACACGAAAGCCAGGGGAGCGAACGGG